rnacentral:rRNA from 1 species
CGUACACAAAAAUGCACAUGCUGUGAGCUCGAUGAGUAGGGCGGGACACGUGGUAUCCUGUCUGAAUAUGGGGGGACCAUCCUCCAAGGCUAAAUACUCCUGACUGACCGAUAGUGAACCAGUACCGUGAGGGAAAGGCGAAAAGAACCCCGGCGAGGGGAGUGAAAAAGAACCUGAAACCGUGUACGUACAAGCAGUGGGAGCACGCUUAGGCGUGUGACUGCGUACCUUUUGUAUAAUGGGUCAGCGACUUAUAUUCUGUAGCAAGGUUAACCGAAUAGGGGAGCCGAAGGGAAACCGAGUCUUAACUGGGCGUUAAGUUGCAGGGUAUAGACCCGAAACCCGGUGAUCUAGCCAUGGGCAGGUUGAAGGUUGGGUAACACUAACUGGAGGACCGAACCGACUAAUGUUGAAAAAUUAGCGGAUGACUUGUGGCUGGGGGUGAAAGGCCAAUCAAACCGGGAGAUAGCUGGUUCUCCCCGAAAGCUAUUUAGGUAGCGCCUCGUGAAUUCAUCUCCGGGGGUAGAGCACUGUUUCGGCAAGGGGGUCAUCCCGACUUACCAACCCGAUGCAAACUGCGAAUACCGGAGAAUGUUAUCACGGGAGACACACGGCGGGUGCUAACGUCCGUCGUGAAGAGGGAAACAACCCAGACCGCCAGCUAAGGUCCCAAAGUCAUGGUUAAGUGGGAAACGAUGUGGGAAGGCCCAGACAGCCAGGAUGUUGGCUUAGAAGCAGCCAUCAUUUAAAGAAAGCGUAAUAGCUCACUGGUCGAGUCGGCCUGCGCGGAAGAUGUAACGGGGCUAAACCAUGCACCGAAGCUGCGGCAGCGACACUAUGUGUUGUUGGGUAGGGGAGCGUUCUGUAAGCCUGUGAAGGUGUGCUGUGAGGCAUGCUGGAGGUAUCAGAAGUGCGAAUGCUGACAUAAGUAACGAUAAAGCGGGUGAAAAGCCCGCUCGCCGGAAGACCAAGGGUUCCUGUCCAACGUUAAUCGGGGCAGGGUGAGUCGACCCCUAAGGCGAGGCCGAAAGGCGUAGUCGAUGGGAAACAGGUUAAUAUUCCUGUACUUGGUGUUACUGCGAAGGGGGGACGGAGAAGGCUAUGUUGGCCGGGCGACGGUUGUCCCGGUUUAAGCGUGUAGGCUGGUUUUCCAGGCAAAUCCGGAAAAUCAAGGCUGAGGCGUGAUGACGAGGCACUACGGUGCUGAAGCAACAAAUGCCCUGCUUCCAGGAAAAGCCUCUAAGCAUCAGGUAACAUCAAAUCGUACCCCAAACCGACACAGGUGGUCAGGUAGAGAAUACCAAGGCGCUUGAGAGAACUCGGGUGAAGGAACUAGGCAAAAUGGUGCCGUAACUUCGGGAGAA